rnacentral:rRNA from 1 species
CAUGCAGUCGAGCGGUAACAGAUCUAGCUUGCUAGAUGCUGACGAGCGGCGGACGGGUGAGUAAUGCAUAGGAAUCUGCCCGGUAGUGGGGGAUAACCUGGGGAAACCCAGGCUAAUACCGCAUACGUCCUACGGGAGAAAGGGGGCUUCGGCUCCCGCUAUUGGAUGAGCCUAUGUCGGAUUAGCUAGUUGGUGAGGUAAUGGCUCACCAAGGCAACGAUCCGUAGCUGGUCUGAGAGGAUGAUCAGCCACAUCGGGACUGAGACACGGCCCGAACUCCUACGGGAGGCAGCAGUGGGGAAUAUUGGACAAUGGGCGCAAGCCUGAUCCAGCCAUGCCGCGUGUGUGAAGAAGGCCCUCGGGUUGUAAAGCACUUUCAGCGAGGAAGAACGCCUAGUGGUUAAUACCCAUUAGGAAAGACAUCACUCGCAGAAGAAGCACCGGCUAACUCCGUGCCAGCAGCCGCGGUAAUACGGAGGGUGCAAGCGUUAAUCGGAAUUACUGGGCGUAAAGCGCGCGUAGGUGGCUUGAUAAGCCGGUUGUGAAAGCCCCGGGCUCAACCUGGGAACGGCAUCCGGAACUGUCAAGCUAGAGUGCAGGAGAGGAAGGUAGAAUUCCCGGUGUAGCGGUGAAAUGCGUAGAGAUCGGGAGGAAUACCAGUGGCGAAGGCGGCCUUCUGGACUGACACUGACACUGAGGUGCGAAAGCGUGGGUAGCAAACAGGAUUAGAUACCCUGGUAGUCCACGCCGUAAACGAUGUCGACCAGCCGUUGGGUGCCUAGCGCACUUUGUGGCGAAGUUAACGCGAUAAGUCGACCGCCUGGGGAGUACGGCCGCAAGGUUAAACUCAAAUGAAUUGACGGGGGCCCGCACAGCGUGG